CACGCCGUAAACGAUGGGCACUAGAUGUGGGCGGUGUCGACUCCGUCCGUGUCGCAGCUAACGCACUAAGUGCCCCGCCUGGGGAGUACGGCCGCAAGGCUAAAACUCAAAGGAAUUGAC
rnacentral:rRNA from 1 species